rnacentral:lncRNA from 1 species
GAAGAAACCUGGUGCACGCGCCUUUUCUUCCUUCUCGUCCUUGCCCUCUGACUCUGUUGAGUUUGGUUCUCGCGGUGUAAAUGAGACACUCGAGCAACAUCCGUCGCAACGAAAGGGGGAAGAAGGCGACAGUGAAGCCGAGGAAGGGGAGAACGAGAGAGACGAGGAAGCAGGAGACGCUUCGCACGGGUGUCUGUAUUCUGAUGUCUGAGACGACGGCGAAGACAAGCAUGACGAGGAACGAUAAAAGAGUGAAGGAAGCACUGGACCUGGGACAAAGGCUUGAGAUCGUGGAGGGUCCACUGUUGUUGUUUCGCCUCCCAUGUUGCGUGUCAGCCUGUGCAGUGACAUUAUAAGAAGAGGACCCGAUUCCCCUCUUGUUGCCGCCUUUUCCCCCAGUCGUCUAGUUUGUUUACAUUUGCGUUCAUGUGUCUUCCUUAUUGUCCACUCGAAAUGCUUCACGCCUCGAGAGCACACAAAGCGUUCGUGACUCUUUUCGUCGGCGGUGCUGCCGAGCGUCGCAACGGUCGUCUCCACGCCGCCAAGACCAACGAAAGACAGCGAUGGGCGAGAAGCGAAAACUGGGUUUCCUUCCUCCCGUGGUACAGGCGUGAAAGCCAUAGAUCGAAAAACAGUUUUCUGUUUUCCUCUUGAAAUAUUUGGACUUGCACAACUAGAGAACGAGGAAGGCGCGGAAAACGCGACGGAAGAAGAGAAGGAGCGAGCAGGGGAUGAGUCCAGCAGUUGUGGUUCGGAGUCACUUCGAUCUGUGUCGAAGGUUGCUCUCUUUCUGGGCUUCGCAUGACACAUCUCUUUUCCAUUCUUCCCCCAGCUGACUGAGGUCUCAGCUGGAUGUGGUUGAUCGAUCAAAUCAAGCGGUG